GACGAACGCUGGCGGCGUGCCUAAUACAUGCAAGUAGAACGCUGAAGGAGGAGCUUGCUUCUCUGGAUGAGUUGCGAACGGGUGAGUAACGCGUAGGUAACCUGCCUGGUAGCGGGGGAUAACUAUUGGAAACGAUAGCUAAUACCGCAUAAGAGUAGAUGUUGCAUGACAUUUGCUUAAAAGGUGCAAUUGCAUCACUACCAGAUGGACCUGCGUUGUAUUAGCUAGUUGGUGGGGUAACGGCUCACCAAGGCGACGAUACAUAGCCGACCUGAGAGGGUGAUCGGCCACACUGGGACUGAGACACGGCCCAGACUCCUACGGGAGGCAGCAGUAGGGAAUCUUCGGCAAUGGACGGAAGUCUGGCCGAGCAACGCCGCGUGAGUUUAGAAGGUUUUCGGAUCGUAAA
rnacentral:rRNA from 1 species